CAACUACUCCCUCUGUCCCAAAUUUCUUGUCUUAGAUUUAUCUAGAUACGGAUGUAUCUAAUACUAAAAUGUGACUUGAUACAUCCGUAUCUAGACAAAUCUAAGACAAUAAUUUUGGGACGGAGGGAGUACUUU
rnacentral:pre_miRNA from 1 species